GGCAGUUACUCGAAGAAUUAUCGUAUCAUUAUGGGUUCACUCUUUCUUUUCCCGCAAAUAGUGAAACCAUCUAUGGAUGCACUGAUGCACACAGCUAACAUCCUUGUUUGUCUAAGAGGUCCAGAGAAGGCAGCGCCGACAAGGUGGACGACGCUGGCCAACUCCUGAGCGAAGCAGGCCGGUGCGGUGGAUCCAGUAGAGGAAAGAGGCUCGCAGCCGGCCGCUCGCGCUUCGCGUGCUCGACCUCUCCGCCAACCACCUCACCGGCGCGCUCCCUUCCUCGUCCUCCUGCUCCGCCAUACUCCAGGAGCUCUCCCUUGCUGCCAACUCCUUCACCGGCGCCCUUCCCGUCGCGCUUUCCAGCCUCCGGAAGCUCUAAUUCGCCUCCAAUGGCCUCAUCGGCCACCGUGUACAAAUUGCUCCUAUCGGGGGGGGGGCUUUUUUUGUAAAAUUUCCACAGCCUACGGGCCAUCUAACUGCCACGUGUCCAAUUCUGACUAAUUGGACUAAAAUGCUCCUGAAUCUCAACUUACUAGUUUUGCUCAUUUUAUAACUUGUUGGACUAAACUGCUCCCACCUCUCAAGUGGUUGGGUUAGUGAUGCAAUUACCUCUUUAUCUAAUUGCAAUCAUAUAAAAAUGCAGGGGCGGAAAAAUGUAAUGUUAGUAUACUCAAUUAUUUUUUAAAACAAAUGAUUAGUAAGGGAUGUUUUGAAGUUCAGAUGUACUACAAGCACCACAAGAUUGAAUGCACCGGAUAGGUUCUCGCA